rnacentral:rRNA from 1 species
CCUACGGGUGGCAGCAGUGGGGAAUAUUGGGCAAUGGGCGCAAGCCUGACCCAGCAACGCCGCGUGAAGGAAGAAGGCUUUCGGGUCGUAAACUUCUUUUGUCAGGGAAGAGUAGAAGACGGUACCUGACGAAUAAGCCACGGCUAACUACGUGCCAGCAGCCGCGGUAAUACGUAGGUGGCAAGCGUUGUCCGGAGUUACUGGGUGUAAAGGGCGUGUAGCCGGGUUGAUAAGUCAGAUGUGAAAUCCUGCGGCUUAUCCGCAGAACUGCAUUUGAAACUGUUGAUCUUGAGUACUGGAGAGGCAGGCGGAAUUCCUAGUGUAGCGGUGAAAUGCGUAGAUAUUAGGAGGAACACCAGUGGCGAAGGCGGUCUGCUGGACAGCAACUGACGGUGAGGCGCGAAAGCGUGGGGAGCAAACAGGAUUAGAUACCCCAGUAGUC